rnacentral:rRNA from 1 species
GAUGAACGCUAGCGGCAGGCUUAAUACAUGCAAGUCGUGGGGCAGCAGGACUGUAGCAAUACCGUUGCUGGCGACCGGCAAACGGGUGCGGAACACGUACGCAGCUUACCCUGAACUGGGGAAAGGCCGGGGAAACCCCGAAUAAAUACCCGGUAAUAUAUUGGGUGGCAUUAACUUAAUAAUUAAGCCUCGGCCGUUCGGGAAUGGCGUGCGGCCGGUUAGGUAGUUGGUUGAGGGAACGGCUUACCAAGCCUACGAUCAGUAACUGGUGUGAGAGCACGACCAGUCACACGGGCACUGAGACACGGGCCCGACUCCUACGGGAGGCAGCAGUAAGGAAUAUUGGGCAAUGGAGGCAACUCUGACCCAGCCAUGCCGCGUGGAGGAUGAAGGCCCUCUGGGUUGUAAACUUCUUUUAUAGGGGACGAAACCUGUGUAUUCUUACGCAGUUGACGGUACCCUAGGAAUAAGCACCGGCUAACUCCGUG